GGGAAGUUGGCUCAGUGGCAGAGCACUUGCCUUGCACGCAUGAGGCCCUGGGUUCAAUUCCUCAGUACCA
rnacentral:tRNA from 1 species